GGUAGAGAGAACACAGAUGGAUCAGGCUUGGCCCUUCUCAUGGGACCUCCAGAGAACCAAGUUGACUGGACCAUCAUCAAAGCAUAUGGGAUCUUCGUUCUCUGAUCAGGGAUCACACCUGUGCCCUUUGCAGUGGAAGCACGGAUCCUUAACUGCUGGAUCUCCAGGGAAAAUCAAUGAACCAACUCAAAUAUCUCUUUAAAAAUAAUUUGGGGGCUUUCCUGGGGGCUCAGUGGUAAAGAAGCCCCCUGCCAAUGCAGGAGUCAUGGGUUUGAUCCCUGACCUGGGAAGAUCCCACAUGCCACAGAGCAACUAAGGCCGUGGGCCACAACUACUGAGCCCCAGUCCCACAACUACUGAAAUGCAUGAGUCCUGCGCUUCACGACAAGAGAAGCCACUGCAAUGAGAAGCCCGAGCACCGCAACUAGAGACUAGCCCCUGCUCGCUGCAACUAGAGAAAAGCCCACAUAGCAACAAAGACCCAGCACAGC
ensembl:lncRNA